GUAAGGACAACAAUAUGGACUGUGGAUAUUAAAUGCUUCUAAAUGCUUCUAAUAAAAAAGCAGUAGGAUGAAUUCACACUAGCUGGAUGUGAUAUAGUGGAAAGCCUUAGGAACCUGGUCAGUUUUGGACGUAUGCCAUGACUGAUAUGGUGAUCUUGUGCUAUGUACAGAGUGCCUACAGUUCAGGACUUCUGAAAUAAAAAGGCAACAUGGAGGAAUGCAUGAACGUAGCGAUUGAAUUUUGGAAGCUUGGAAGAUGCCCUGCUAAACAUGGCUUGUGAAAGAAAAGGAUGAGCAGUAAAAUAAAAUGUAAA